rnacentral:rRNA from 1 species
GUCCUAGCCUUAAACGAUGAUGACUUGGUGUGUCGGGUUUUUAGUCCCGAUGUGCCGGAGCUAACGCGUUAAGUCAUCCGCCUGGGGAGUACGGUCGCAAGACUGAAACUCAAAGGAAUUGACGGGGACCCCGCACAAGCGGUGGAGCAUGUGGUUUAAUUCGACGCAACGCGAAGAACCUUACCUGGAUUAGAAUGCGAAGGACAGGGUGCAAAACACCUCUCCUAUGGGAAACCAUAGGCCUGAAGCAAGGUGCUGCAUGGCUGUCGU